rnacentral:rRNA from 1 species
AUUGAACGCUGGCGGCAGGCCUAACACAUGCAAGUCGAGCGAGCGGCGGACGGGAGAGCAAUGUCUGGGACACUGCCUGCUGGAGGGGGAUAACUACUGGAAACGGUUGCUAAUAACGCCCAACAGCAGAUGGGUCCUGAUUGGAUUAUCUAGUAGGUGGGGUAAUGUCUCACCUAGGCGACGAUCCCUACCUGGUCUGAGAGGAUGACCAGCCACACUGGAACUGAGACACGGUCCAGACUCCUACGGGAGGCAGCAGUGGGGAAUAUUGCACAAUGGGCGCAAGCCUGAUGCAGCCAUGCCGCGUGUGUGAAGAAGGCCUUCGGAGUGUAAAGCACUUUCAGCGAGGAGGCGUUACUCGCAGAAGAAGCACCGGCUAACUCCGUGCCAGCAGCCGCGGUAAUAC